rnacentral:rRNA from 1 species
UACCAGCACCCCGAGUGGUCGGGACGAUUAUUGGGCCUAAAGCAUCCGUAGCCGGUUCUACAAGUCUUCCGUUAAAUCCACCUGCUUAACAGAUGGGCUGCGGAGGAUACUAUAGAGCUAGGAGGCGGGAGAGGCAAGCGGUACUUAGUGGGUAGGGGUAAAAUCCGUUGAUCCAUUGAAGACCACCAGUGGCGAAGGCGGCCUGCCAGAACGCACUCGACGGUGAGGGAUGAAAGCUGGGGGAGCAAACCGG